rnacentral:rRNA from 1 species
AGUGAACGCUGGCGGUAGGCCUAACACAUGCAAGUCGAACGGCAGCACAGGAGAGCUUGCUCUCUGGGUGGCGAGUGGCGGACGGGUGAGGAAUACAUCGGAAUCUACUCUGUCGUGGGGGAUAACGUAGGGAAACUUACGCUAAUACCGCAUACGACCUACGGGUGAAAGCAGGGGACCUUCGGGCCUUGCGCGAUUGAAUGAGCCGAUGUCGGAUUAGCUAGUUGGCGGGGUAAAGGCCCACCAAGGCGACGAUCCGUAGCUGGUCUGAGAGGAUGAUCAGCCACACUGGAACUGAGACACGGUCCAGACUCCUACGGGAGGCAGCAGUGGGGAAUAUUGGACAAUGGGCGCAAGCCUGAUUCAGCCAUACCGCGUGGGUGAAGAAGGCCUUCGGGUUGUAAAGCCCUUUUGUUGGGAAAGAAAUCCAGCUGGCUAAUACCCGGUUGGGAUGACGGUACCCAAAGAAUAAGCACCGGCUAACUUCGUGCCAGCAGCCGCAGUAA